UUAAAUUGAAGAGUUUGAUCAUGGCUCAGAUUGAACGCUGGCGGCAGGCCUAACACAUGCAAGUCGAACGGUAACAGAAAUCAG
rnacentral:rRNA from 1 species